CAAAACCCCGUCGGCCCGUUUGGUAGGCGAGGAUACAUGGGCCAAACCUCCUCGAUUCCCCUUCCAUUCACUUCCUCCCACGCGGUUCAGAACCCUCGAGGCCCCCCUCGAGGAUUUCGCCGCCCGACUCGUAAGACGCCGCCGCCCGAGACGCCGCCGCCGACUCCUCCACAAGACGCCGCCGCUGCCCGACGCCUCGACGCUGGCGAUCUCGUCCGGCAUACUGGACUUCUCCCCUGCGGUAAGUCCUCGCCUCGUCUCCCCUCUCCUCCCCUCGUCGUCUAGGGCUUUCUGUCCGCCCGGCCAUGGUUGCUACCUCGUCUCUCCCCGGCGACGCCGUCUCUGAGCUGCCCGUCCAAACUUCCCGUCACCAAGUUCGCCAGGUUCGUCCCCCUCCUGGUGACCACUGUUGAUCACGCGGUUGAUCAAUUUGAUGGUCUGAUGUGGAUGUUGGGAAUCGUUGGAUGGAUGAUGAUUAGUGCGUAGUCGUGGUUGGUUGCACGAGGAUGUUUCUCUGGUGCUGCUUGAUCUGUUAAUGGAACAAUAUCUGCUACUCUGAAUUUGUGACGAAUCAUAUUAAGCGUAGUUUUGGGGGGAGGCUAACAAUAUCUGCUACUCUGAACAAUAUCUGCUUGAUCUUUUGUGUGUGUUGUGCUUGAUGAAUUUGGUCUGAUGGUGACAUGACAACUAAGUGAGCUGAAUAUAUUUCUUUGUUUGCCACUGAUCUUAUAACAACUAAGUGAGCUGAACAUAUAAUUGAUCUUCUAAUCUUGACAAACUGAAUAUAACAACUGAAUUUCUUUCUUUGUCAGUGUAUCGUUUCUGUUUAAAAGGCUUUGGUUAUUUGACAAACUUAACUGCACGCCCCUACUGUUUUAUUAAAUGUCAUCUAUGAUCUUCCGGAGAGGCGAGGCGACUCAUUUCAUCGGAGGUCUAAGCAGCUACGUAGUCAGGCCCCUGGCAUACAACAAUACCCUGUUCUGAUCCUUUCAUCAGAGACGGUGAUCCAGGAAUUAUUAUACCUUGUUUUGCUAUGUCUACGGUUGAGUAUGGUGGCCUCAUCCUUGUCAUAUGUCCAGCUUAAGCCCUGUAUUCAUCCUUGCUUGUUCUUGCAGUAGAUGAAAUUGGCUCUCAUAGCAUUAAUUACAUGCCAUUUCUGUGCUUAGGGAACUGCUGGUGAAUCUUUUGCUACCUAUAAUCAUAUUUCAUUUAUCACCUCUUUUGUCUUCAGGUUGAGACUGUUCCCUGUAACUUCAAGUCUUUUUUCCAAGCUUGAGCCUUCUCAUUUUCGAAUCUGUGCAUACAUAUAUAUGGACCCUGGACUGGCGAAGCGUAUGCAUUCCUGAUUCCAUUGUUGGCAGAAAAGUUAUAUCUGACAUCUAGUCUAUAUGGCUCUAGUUUAGUUGGUUCUAGUUUAAUUUAUGGGAACAUUGGUUCUCAUUUAUGGCAACAUUGGUUCUCUACUCUCUGAUUAUAUGUGUCGUCUAGUCUAGUCUGCUAGUACUAUCUUCCAUGCUCAGAUUAUAUAAUACAAUAUGAAAAUUUGUUAAACAUCUAAGCAAUGAAAUUCUGUUUGUAGUUUCUCAUUAUUUAAGCAAGGAAAUUAUGGAGCUAGCUUUCUUAUGUAUCCAUCUGUUCAUUGUUUUUCCGCAUCUAACCCUUGGACCAAUUCAUCUGUUUAUUAUAGGGACCUAAUCUCGCGGAAGACGGGCGACCAUGCUUUGCUGCCACAAGUCUCCUCCACUUUGUGCAGCCCGCAAACAUGUCUUGGAGCAUUCGCCGAUCAAACGUGUGUUUAUGUUGUGAUGAGCCGUUAACUUUUGUUGACCGAAUAUCUUGUAUUUUUCAUUUGGACCGUGGUAUGUGGCAUGUGUAUGUUUUUCAUUUGGACCGUGGAAUGUAUGCAUGUACCAUUUUCAUUAGAACCAUUGAUAAUAGUACUUGUAAGUUGUAACAGAGCAUGUUUGUUGUUUUGUGUAAUCUAGGUGCACUUUUCCUCCGUGAGCUUUUGAAGUUGUAAAAAUUGCAUUUUUAAUUAUAAUAUAGUGGUUUUGCAAACCUUGUGUAUCAA
rnacentral:lncRNA from 1 species